GGAUUUCUGAGAUUGAGGACAUGCACCUCUUGUGGUAGGCCUGUUGUGCCUCGGCUUGCACAGCCAGAUAAGACUGUGAAACUCUCCAACAGGGCAUGGACUGGGUGUGAACUGUUAACAGGAGAUAGCACACACUCGCUCCUUGGCACAGGACCUGCAUCUGCAAAACACAGAAUCAUCAAAGCAAACACUGGAGUCACACAACUUGAAGACAUUUUUGCAAGCACCGUCUUCUUAAAUCAGUUCUUUCUGUAGCUCUUCAUGUAGAUUUACUUCCUUUGAAAAUUGUGGUGUGCUUUGAAAUCAGAUCUUCCAGGCUUCUAAUUGCCUGGCAGGGGCUCCGUCCACGCCUCGUCCCGCGGGGCAGGCGCGCAAUUGCGCGGCUACGCCAUAGGCAGCGCAGCGCCGGCCGAGAACGGAACGGAACGGAACCGGACGGGACCCUCACCGAGGCCGACCCAGCGCCGGCCGCUGCUGCCCGGCCCGCGGCGCGCGGGAGGAGGCGGUGAGGAGGAGGAGAAGGAGGAGGCGCGCAGCCGCCCGUCCGGCCCCCAGCCCGCGAGUAACCCCAUGGCGGCAGCGCCGCGCACACGGCGGGGCGGACCGGGCCGGGCGGGACCGCGCCGUCAUUGGGCGCGGGGCGGGGAUUGCGCCGUGACGGCCCCGACGGCGUCCCCGCCCCCGGGGCCCAUUCGCCGCAAUGACCCGGCCGGGAUCCGCGCUACACCUGAGCGCCGUGCGGCUGUACCUGCGCUCCGGCCGCGGCUCUACUCGGGGCAGGGGAAGGGGCUGCGUGACGUGGAGGCGGAGGUCCGCGUGCGCUGAGAAAAGCGUGCGCAAGUGGAGCCUUUGUGCCGGAAUAGAUUCUGCACUGAAUCUACUCCUCGGCUUGUCAGAGCUCCAGUUUCAACAGUGCAUGGAGUUUUGGAGUGAGGGCUUUGCACCUCACUGCGAUCGCCGAGCUCCACCAUAACGUUCUCCUUCGGCAAGGGGGAGCGGAGAACCGGCUUCUGAGGCCUGACGGCCCCUUAGAACCGCUGGACCGGGGUGUCGCCGCCGCGCCGGUGCCCGUUCUGCUGGGCGCUGCUGCCGGCGUGAGCAGGGCAACACCAGAAAGCUCCGUCACGGUACCGAGCCCCGACCCGCUCGUUGUCCGAGCGAGCAGCUCUCGCACUCACGGUGAGAACGGGCAGAAACGGGCGAAUAAAAGAAGAAUUUAAGAAGCUUCUAAAAAUUCCACCAGUUCAGUCUGCUUUCAGAAGACUGGGGGUGAUUGCUACUGUGCUGUGUGACCUCACUAAGAGGCUGCAAGAGUUCAGGCAGCUUACCCACUCUUGAAACGCCAGUAUGCAGCCCAGAAUAGCCCACGGCCACCUACUCUACGCUUCCCCUUUGGAAGAACCUUGCAGAGCCCCACCAUGCCCGCCAGGGAUCUGCAAACAGUUUGGUCCUGGCAGGUGCUGGGCACCACUGCUGAGCACCUCAUGGAGACAAAGCCUCAAAACGUUGGCAUUAGCUGAGGCCUUCAGCAAGUAAACCAAAGGUUGCCAUAACAAGCAUUUGGUUUGCCUGAAAAAUUUCAGUAAGCAGCCUUAUAAAACCUGAAGAAACAAGCAAAAUACAAGUUCAGGCUGCUUUUUGGCAGCCUAAACCCACUUACACAACUUUUGAUUUAUUUUUAAGUUGUGCGUGUCAGAGCACGACAUAAUCCUCUAUUACUACGAGUCUAUAUGUCAGAUACAGAACUGCACAAGAGACGUGGAGGUGGGGGAAGUCCCUUCAGUAAAGAAAUUAAUAUUUUGCAGCACAAAAAGCAACACAUGCAUUUCAGUGCAGAUAUUAUGUCUACUUUACUUCCACUACCUGAAAUCCCAGCGUGCUGAUCAAAAAUGGGAUUGAGACUUAAGCAGAGCAAUGACUUAUUUAAAAUAUUAUUUAACUUAGGUCUCAUUUCUGCACAGAUUAAAUUAGAUAACAUUUAUUCAAGUGAGUGGCCAAAGCUGUUCAUGUGUAUGAAGUGUGUGUACAAGUCUUAGUAAAAUCAAAUUUGUUGUGCACAGCUAAAUUCUUACCAUUUGCACUGAUAUUAGGUAAGAACUGAUUCCCAC
rnacentral:lncRNA from 1 species